CCCUUGCUCUUCUCCUCCAUCGACGAUGCCUUCUCCUCCAUCGACGACGCCUUCUCCUCCUUAGCGCUUCUCCUUGAUCGACGAUGUAAUGGGCAUUGGCCUUCACUUCGAAUUGGGGAAAGUAUCUUCUUAGCUUCUAGAUCUAUCAAGCAUUCAGGCAUGCUAUCUACGAUAGAGAAUCCAGAAAACAGGAUUGAUUAGCGAAAAUGACAGGGAUACAAUUCUACAAGGUCUAGAUGAGAUAGAAAGGCAGAUUGAAGCAUGCAAGUUCUUGUGGAGGACUGACAGAGAGGAUGUGCACAUGAACAUUGAAGCAGCUCUUACUGAUUUAGUGGGUGAA